rnacentral:rRNA from 1 species
UACCUGCAGCUCGAGUGGUAACCGCUAUUAUCGGGCCUAAAGCGUCCGUAGCCGGUUUGGUAAAUAUCUGGGUAAAUCGUGAGGCUUAACUUCACGAAUUUCGGAUAGACUGCCAGACUUGGGAUCGGGGGAGGUCAGAGGUACUCCAGGGGUAGCGGUGAAAUGUUGUAAUCCUUGGAGGACCACCGGUAGCGAAGGCGUCUGACUAGAACGAGUCCGACGGUGAGGGACGAAGCCCUGGGGCGCAAACCGGAUUAGAUACCCCGGGUAGUCCAGGGUGUAAACGAUGUGGGCUUUGUAUUGGAGGUCCCACGUGGGCGUCCAGUGCAGAAGAGAAGUUGUUAAGCCCACCGCCUGGGAAGUACGGUAGCAAGGCUGAAACUUAAAGGAAUUGGCGGGGGAGCACAGCAACGGGAGGAGCGUGCGGUUU